AAAGUCCGGGGCUCAACUCCGGAUCUGCGGUGGGUACGGGCAGACUAGAGUGAUGUAGGGGAGACUGGAAUUCCUGGUGUAGCGGUGAAAUGCGCAGAUAUCAGGAGGAACACCGAUGGCGAAGGCAGGUCUCUGGGCAUUAACUGACGCUGAGGAGCGAAAGCAUGGGGAGCGAACAGGAUUAGAUACCCUGGUAGUCCAUGCCGUAAACGUUGGGCACUAGGUGUGGGGGACAUUCCACGUUUUCCGCGCCGUAGCUAACGCAUUAAGUGCCCCGCCUGGGGAGUACGGCCGCAAGGCUAAAACUCAAAGGAAUUGACGGGGGCCCGCACAAGCGGCGGAGCAUGCGGAUUAAUUCGAUGCAACGCGAAGAACCUUACCAAGGCUUGACAUGAACUGGAAACGCUUGGAAACAAGUGCCCCGCUUGCGGUCGGUUUACAGGUGGUGCAUGGUUGUCGUCAGCUCGUGUCGUGAGAUGUUGGGUUAAGUCCCGCAACGAGCGCAACCCUCGUUCUAUGUUGCCAGCACGUGAUGGUGGGGACUCAUAGGAGACUGCCGGGGUCAACUCGGAGGAAGGUGAGGACGACGUCAAAUCAUCAUG
rnacentral:rRNA from 1 species